rnacentral:lncRNA from 1 species
UUUUAUUAAAAAAAAAGGGUGAAAAGAACAAAGUUUUGUCCAUCUUUGUUCAUCAUAGCUGAAAGUUAGAGAAGAGAAAGGAGAGGAGAAAGCUCUUGAGUAUUCGGUCAUUAGGAGGAGGAAAAUUGAAGGUAAGUUCUUGGUACCUUGCUUCUAUUUUGAGGUUCAUGAGUUCUUCUUGAUUCUACCUUAACUCUUGAAGUAUAUUUUGAUUUUUAGUUGUGUUGUGAGCAUUUAGUCAUGAAUUAAAAUGAAGGAAAUGGUUGUUGUUUCAUGUUCUUUUGAUGAAAAAUGGAAGAUAGGUGAAGUUGAGCCAAACAAAUGAACAUGCAUGUGCCUUAGAUGCUAAAGGGAAAAAUCAGCUAACAUGUUGUGCUUUAAAAUGAUGAAAUGGAGAUUAUACUUAAGUAAAAUCAUAGAUAUGUGAUGAUUGAUUGGUGAUAUACAUGUUUAAAUAAAAAGCAUGCAAGUUAGGUGUGAAAGAGUGAUUUGGUGAUAAAUCUGCUUGGGACAGCAGCAGUAACGUGACUUUGGAAAAUCACCAUAAAUUUUGGGAGAUGAGUUAGAAGCUGCAUAAAUUAUGUAAUUAAAGCUUAAUGAGUCUAGUUUCAAAUGGAAUAAACGAGAACAUAUUUUGAAUUCUGUACAAUGAGAAAUUUGAUUCGUAAUGAAGAGUGGUCAGAUUAGUCAAACAGUGAAACAUGGGAAACUUUAAGAAAAAUCUGGUAUUUAUUGGCCAUACCAAAAAUUCUGAAAAUUUUAUGGAUAGAAGAUAUAUGAUUCUAUGUUCAGGGAAAAUUAACGGAACUUGAUUUGGAGUUUCGUAGCUCCAGUUAUAAAUAAUUUAGUGACUGUUGCUCAAGAAGACAGCUUGCAGUGAAUUAUGAUUAUGUGGUAAACAUUGACAAAAUUUUGUUAAUGAGUUGCUUAUUGUUUUCUUAUAAGCUUACUAUGAUCUGUAGGUGUGGUUGGUCGAAUAUUGUAAGGGAUUAAUACGUAGUUCGUAUUUGAAUAGUUAGAUUAACGUGUUAGUAAUCCAAUUGUAGGCGGUUCGUGUGUGGAUCUCGUCAGCAUAUCGUCGCAAACAGGUGUGUAACUGACACCCUCUCAUAGACUAGAUUGGCAAAAGCCGAAAUGCCGAAAAGUCGGUAUUUUGGGAAUUUGUGAGUGUGCGAAUGCUCGUAAGAUAGUUGGGUUUGUAUAUUUGGUAAUCUAAAGUAAUAAACUGCAGUACGCGCGAUUUCGUACAUUUUGAUAAUUUGGGCUUAAUGGGCCAAAAAUCGGGUUCAUGGGCCAACGGGCCCAAUUCGGUAAGUAUGCGUGGUAAGUGUUCUGAUAGUACGUAAAUAGUUAGGAUAUGCAUGAAAACCCUAAAAGUAGCUAAAUUACUAUAAUACCCCUAUGUAUGGAAAAUUAUCGUUAUACCCCUAGAGUUAAUUUUGACUGAAAAGCAUGACGAUCUGAUUCUGUAUGAUGUAUGCCAUGAUUAUAUAUCUGUUGCAUGGGGACAUGGGUUAUAUUAUGGAGGAAGCGUUCUGAUGGCUAUGCCACAAAUAUCUGAUCUGGUGGCUCUGCCACAAAUAUCUGAUCUGGUGGCUCUGCGACAUAUAUCUGUUCUGGUGGCUUUGCCACGAUUAUCUGUAUCUGGUGACUCUGUCACAUUAUCUGUUCUGGCAGCCAUGCUGCAAAUUCUGUGGUGUGUAGCGGUUGGGUGGGUCGAGUUGUCUCUCCACACGGUGUAAGGUUGGUAUGGGGGUGUAUACGGUUGGAUAUGGUUGGGUUUCUGCAUAAACAUGUAAUAUCUGUUCUAUUCUGCUAUGGGCCUAUGGCCUUUAUUCUGAAUUCUGUUCUGGGCUAAGGCCAACUUAUUCUAUUUCUAUGGUUUGAGCUGAUAUAAGCUAUGGUUGGGUUAAUUUACACACUGAGUUUCCCCAAACUCACCCCUUUUAUUUUCAUCCACGCAGGUAAUCCCCAACCAUAGUGGGCUUGGAGCUGUGAGGGAAUUCGGAGUGGCCAUCCAUUCUGAAAGUUUGAUUUUCUUCUGGUGAACUGAACAUCCUUUUAUUUACGUUUGAAGUUUUGGGUUUUUAAAUGUAAUAAGGCCACUUAAUUAUUUUUGAUGGUUUUAAUAUGUAUUACUAAGAUAGGUAUUACUUAUUUUAACUGUUGAAAUUGGAUAGCUUUAGGGCGCGUUUUCAAAAACAACAAUUGAUUUCAAAAUAACACGACAACAAGCAAAGCUUCCGCAAUG